UACGGGGGGGGCAAGCGUUGUUCGGAAUUACUGGGCGUAAAGGGCUCGUAGGCGGCCAACUAAGUCGGACGUGAAAUCCCCAGGCUCAACCUGGGAACUGCGUCUGAUACUGGAUGGCUUGAAUUCGGGAGAGGGAUGCAGAAUUCCAGGUGUAGCGGUGAAAUGCGUAGAUAUCGGGAGGAACAUCAGUGGCGAAGGCGGCUACCUGGCCCAAUACUGACACUCAGGUGCGACAGCGUGGGGAGCAAACAGG
rnacentral:rRNA from 1 species